rnacentral:rRNA from 1 species
ACUCCUACGGGAGGCAGCAGUGGGGAAUCUUGGACAAUGGGCGCAAGCCUGAUCCAGCCAUGCCGCGUGAGUGAUGAAGGCCCUAGGGUCGUAAAGCUCUUUCGCCAGGGAUGAUAAUGACAGUACCUGGUAAAGAAACCCCGGCUAACUCCGUGCCAGCAGCCGCGGUAAUACGGAGGGGGUUAGCGUUGUUCGGAAUUACUGGGGCGUAAAGCGCGCGUAGGCGGACUGGAAAGUUGGGGGUGAAAUCCCGGGGGCUCAACCCCGGAACUGCCUCCAAAACUCCCAGUCUUGAGUUCGAGAGAGGUGAGUGGAAUUCCGAGUGUAGAGGUGAAAUUCGUAGAUAUUCGGAGGAACACCAGUGGCGAAGGCGGCUCACUGGCUCGAUACUGACGCUGAGGUGCGAAAGUGUGGGGAGCAAACAGGAUUAGAUACCCUGGUAGCGACUGA